UACGUAGGGGGCAAGCGUUGUCCGGAAUCAUUGGGCGUAAAGCGCGCGUAGGCGGCCCGGUAAGUCCGCUGUAAAAGUCCAGGGCUCAACCCUGGAAAGCCGGUGGAUACUGUGAGGCUAGAGUACGGAAGAGGCGAGUGGAAUUCCUGGUGUAGCGGUGGAAUGCGCAGAUAUCAGGAGGAACACCAAUAGCGAAGGCAGCUCGCUGGGACGUUACUGACACUGAGGCGCGAAAGCGUGGGGAGCGAACAGG
rnacentral:rRNA from 1 species